UACGUAGGGGGCAAGCGUUGUCCGGAAUCAUUGGGCGUAAAGCGCGCGUAGGCGGCCCGGUAAGUCCGCUGUGAAAGUCAAAGGCUCAACCUUUGAAUGCCGGUGGAUACUGUCGGGCUAGAGUCCGGAAGAGGCGAGUGGAAUUCCUGGUGUAGCGGUGGAAUGCGCAGAUAUCAGGAGGAACACCGGUGGCGAAGGCGGGUCUCUGGGCCGUUACUGACGCUGAGGAGCGAAAGCGUGGGGAGCGAACAGG
rnacentral:rRNA from 1 species